UACGUAGGGGGCAAGCGUUAUCAGGAUUUACUGGGUGUAAAGGGAGCGCAGGUGGCAAGGCAAGCCAGAAGUGAAAACCCGGGGCUUAACCCCGCGGAUUGCUUUUGGAACUGUCUGGCUGGAGUGCAGGAGGGGCAGGCGGAAUUCCUGGUGUAGCGGUGAAAUGCGUGGAUAUCAGGAGGAACACCGGUGGCGAAGGCGGCCUGCUGGACUGUAACUGACACUGAGGCUCGAAAGCGUGGGGAGCAAACAGG
rnacentral:rRNA from 1 species